rnacentral:lncRNA from 1 species
UGGAUGUCCAUAACCGGCCCGGUCCAUAAACCGGCCCAAUACCUAGAGAGAGAGAGAGACGGCCGCAGCAAGAGGAGAGAGAGAGAGGCGGCUAGGAGAGACAUCAAACCCUAAUUUCCUUUUACUUGUAUUUGUAUACUUUCCAUAUUUGUAUCUUUCCAUUUAUCUCUUUGUAAUUUCCAUAUAUAAAGGCACCUUAUGCUAUGAAUAAUAAUAAGAACUUAGAGAUUCUAAAUAUUUAAGUUUACAACAUUUACUAAUUUAUCAGAUUCCGGUCCAACUUGAAUUAAACUGAUUAUUGAACCAAAAAUAAUCUAGGGCACUACGGGUUUAACAACGAUCUUGUAUAUAGUUCAAUGCACGCUCUUCUACAUGUCUCAUGUCCCUAUUAGUUACAACUCUUUUAUAUUUAUCAAUAAUAAAAAUAUAAUAAUUUAGUCUCUUAGUUUAAUACACGUCGUACAUUAUUCGUGAUGCCCUGGCCAGAUCUUCGUCAGAUUAUGGCAACGCAUAUAUUAACUAUUAUUAUCGAUUUUUUAGAACUAAUUAUUUAUUGUUAUGAUUAAUAUACAAGAACUUACGGAUUAUAUUCUUUAAUUUCACAACAGGUUAUCAGCACGAAACUCUAAAAACCCUAAAGCUAAAACCAAAUCGAAAAAUCCUAACCCUAGCCGGCGAUCCGACGAACCCUAAACCCCGAUCGCAUCUCU